rnacentral:lncRNA from 1 species
GUAAAAGCAAAAUAAAUUCAUACAUAAGUGGCACACGUAGCCAGGUAUACAAAAUAUUCUACAAUGACAUGUGGACCCCACAAUAACCGUAAAUAUACAAGACUAUAGACCUUCGAUUUCUAAGGAUGCAAAUCCAAAAGCAACCCUCGACAAAAUCGGCUGUCUAUAGACUAUCCUGUGCCUGAAAUGGAUAAAAAGAAGGGGUGAGUUUUUACAAACCCAGUGAGCAAGCAAAAUUCAUCUAUAACAUCUAAAACUGAGUAAAUGGAGACAGUUAAAUCAUCCCAUCAUAAUAUAGUUCAUAACAUUCAAAACUUAUUUCAAUUCCUAUAAAACAAUUACAUUUCAUCAAAAUAAUCAGCAAGGCUUAUGAUUCUCUUAAAAACUUGGCUUUUGCCAAAACUCAUACUCGGUGACACCUUGGCCCGAGCAUCAACCGAGUCCGCCAAGGAUGUUAAAGUGACAUAUACCCAUAAAACAUGUUAUUACUUUUAAAAUAUAGCCAUUCCUUGGCGUUGGUUGAGUUUUACCCUCACGUGGUGGUUCGGCAUGAAAUGAACUCUAAACUUACCUUAGGAGAUACCCUUCGCGCCUCUCAUACUAAGGUAAAAUAUAACGGGGUUUAUCGUGCCCCUCUAAUAGGCUGGUCCACGGAAACCCGCCCACUGCAGUAAACUAAAUACAUAACCCACCAAAUCAAUAAAAUUUCGGCAACAUAACAUGGCUAAUAGAGUACUAUCCAACCUGUCAAUGUAAGACAAAACAAUUUCAGCCAUUCAUGCUACCACAAUUUCAUAAGCCAUCAAUUCAAAUCAUGUAUAUAUAUAUAAUACAAAUGUAUAGCCUCCACUUAUUCUAUUUCGAAAAUGAACAUUUAGUUUCAGAAUAAUUUAUAAAUCUCAUUCAUUUAACUAACAUUUAAAAUGUAAAACAUAAUAAUUUGCAAAUUAGGUGCCUUAUUCUUUAAAAUCUUAAAACAAGUAUAAACCAAUUUAGAUAAUUAAGAUGAACAUCUAAUUACUCACAAUAGUAGGAGUUUGGAGUACUCCUAUUCUUGGUCCUCGGGCACAAUAUCUUUACCCUUAUUAGAGGGCUCACCACCUAUACAUAAUAAAUGACACGUAAUUCAAUAUAUUUAUGCCAAAUUGUUAUAAAACUAUUUCAGGCUCUAUAUGAAUGCAUGACAUUGAAUGAGAAUUGUCCGAAUAAUCACUUAAAUAUGGUGUUCUACGUGGGUUCAAUUAUGAUCGGACUGAAUUGGCAUUUGACCUAACUCGCACUAUACCUUGUUUAAUUAGCCAAAACAUUCAAUUCAACUCCAAAUAUCUUCAUUACACUUUCAAUAUUCCAAAUACACCAAAAUACCUCAAUGAGCUUAAUUGUGACUUAAUUCACCGUAACCGAAAUUCAUUCCGAUUUCGAUAUCCGAUACCAUAAAUCAUCAAUUACGAGCUAAAUAACAUGAAUUACAACCAAAUCCAUCAUCAAUAUGUCACCUAAUAAAUUCGGCCAAAGAGGGUUAUUGAAGGGCAUGUGAUUUUCUUGCUUGUUUUUCCUUCCAAACAUCACAAAAUGACUAAAAACACUAGGAUAUUAUGAAAUCUAGCAAAAUUCAUCACCAAAUCUUCUCUCUCUAGGUUUGGCUAGCAAAGGUUCUCUCUUGAAAACUUGAAUUUUAGCCAUGGAGAAUGAAAAAGAAUGCAUGGGAAGGGUAGAUCACAAGCUAAAAUUAAAAAAUCUUACCUUGACUUGCUUGAUUCCUUGAAAUCCACCAAUUUCUCUUGAAUUUUUUCUUUCCUAGGGUUUGUUCUUCUCUUUUUCUCUUUGUUCCCUUGCUUGGUCGGC